AACUCCGGUGGUAUAAGAUGGACCCGCGUUGGAUUAGCUAGUUGGCAGGGUAACGGCCUACCAAGGCGACGAUCCAUAGCCGGCCUGAGAGGGUGAACGGCCACAUUGGGACUGAGACACGGCCCAGACUCCUACGGGAGGCAGCAGUGGGGAAUAUUGCACAAUGGGGGAAACCCUGAUGCAGCGACGCCGCGUGAAGGAAGAAGUAUCUCGGUAUGUAAACUUCUAUCAGCAGGGAAGAUAGUGACGGUACCUGACUAAGAAGCCCC
rnacentral:rRNA from 1 species